rnacentral:rRNA from 1 species
CCUACGGGAGGCAGCAGUAGGGAAUCUUCCACAAUGGGCGAAAGCCUGAUGGAGCAACGCCGCGUGAGUGAUGAAGGCCUUCGGGUUGUAAAACUCUGUCAUUCGGGACGAACCGGAGUCUGAGGAAAUGCAGACUCUCUGACGGUACCGGAGGAGGAAGCCCCGGCUAACUACGUGCCAGCAGCCGCGGUAAUACGUAGGGGGCAAGCGUUGUCCGGAUUCACUGGGCGUAAAGCGCGCGCAGGCGGUGAUGUAAGUCUGAGGUGAAAACCCGAAGCUCAACUUCGGGACUGCCUUGGAUACUGCGUCACUUGAGGAUAGGAGAGGCAAGGGGAAUUCCACGUGUAGCGGUGAAAUGCGUAGAGAUGUGGAGGAACACCUGUGGCGAAGGCGCCUUGCUGGCCUAUUUCUGACGCUGAGGCGCGAAAGCGUGGGGAGCAAACAGGAUUAGAUACCCUGGUAGUCCACGCUGUAAACGAUGAGUGCUAGGUGUAGGUGGGCUCAUACCCAUCUGUGCCGAAGCUAACGCAUUAAGCNCNCCGCCGUCGGGAGGUACGGUCGCGAGACGUAGAAACGUACAAUAGAAGUUAGUACGGACGGUUGGAGGACGUUGGCCGACGGGACCGACCGACCGAGGGGAGGGUAGGGG